AGGGUGUGAUUCAGUGGCAGAGUGCUUGCCUAGCAUGUGUGAGGCACUGGGUUCGAUCCUCAGCACCACCUA
rnacentral:tRNA from 1 species